GACGAACGCUGGCGGCGUGCUUAACACAUGCAAGUCGAACGAUGACGACCGAGCUUGCUCGGUCUGAUUAGUGGCGAACGGGUGAGUAACACGUGAGCAACCUGCCCUUCACUCUGGGAUAACCUCGGGAAAUCGGGGCUAAUACCGGAUAUGAGCUCCUGUCGCAUGGCGGGUGUUGGAAAGUUUUUCGGUGAAGGAUGGGCUCGCGGCCUAUCAGUUUGUUGGUGAGGUAGUGGCUCACCAAGGCGAUGACGGGUAGCCGGCCUGAGAGGGCGACCGGCCACACUGGGACUGAGACACGGCCCAGACUCCUACGGGAGGCAGCAGUGGGGAAUAGUGCACAAUGGGCGAAAGCCUGAUGCAGCGACGCCGCGUGAGGGAUGACGGCCUUCGGGUUGUAAACCUCUUUCAGCAGGGAAGAAGCGAAAGUGACGGUACCUGCAGAAGAAGCGCCGGCUAACUACGUG
rnacentral:rRNA from 1 species